rnacentral:rRNA from 1 species
AACGAACGCUGGCGGCAUGCCUAACACAUGCAAGUCGAACGAGACCUUCGGGUCUAGUGGCGCACGGGUGCGUAACGCGUGGGAACCUGCCCUUAGGUUCGGAAUAACUCCCCGAAAGGGGUGCUAAUACCGGAUAAUGUCUUCGGACCAAAGAUUUAUCGCCUUUGGAUGGGCCCGCGUUGGAUUAGCUAGUUGGUAGGGUAAAAGCCUACCAAGGCGAGGAUCCAUAGCUGGUCUGAGAGGAUGAUCAGCCACACUGGGACUGGGACACGGCCCAGACUCCUACGGGAGGCAGCAGUGGGGAAUAUUGGACCAUGGGCGAAAGCCUGAUCCAGCAAUGCCGCGUAAGUGAUGAAGGCCUUAGGGUUGUAAAGUUCUUUUACCCGGGAUGAUAAUGACGGUACCGGGAGAAUAAGCACCGGCUAACUCCGUG